AUUGAACGCUGGCGGCAUGGCUAAACAUGCAAGUCGAACGUAGCCCGCAAGGGCCAAGGUGGCGAAAGGGUCAGUAAUACGAUCGAACGUACCCCGAGGUGGGGGAUAGGGUGGCGAAAGUCACCAUAAUACCCAUGAUCUCUCCGGAGCAAAAGGUUUUACCGCCUUGGGAGCGGCGAUCGUCCUAUCAGGUAGUUGGCGGGGUAAAGGCCCACCAAGCCGUAGACGGGUAGCGGGUGUGAGAGCACGGCCCGCGACAUCGAAACUGAGACACUGUUCGGACUCCUACGGGAGCUGCAGUAACGAAUCUUCCGCAAUGGGCGAAAGCCUGACGGAGCAAUGCCGCGUGUGGGAUGAAGCGUCUCUGACGUGUAAACCACUGUCAGGGGCAGGAACAAUGA
rnacentral:rRNA from 1 species